rnacentral:lncRNA from 10 species
AUAUUUUAAAUUGCACCCGUUCUGGUGUGAGGGCGAAGGCGAGUGAAAGAAGGUGACUGAGCCAGGAGGAGAGCACAGAUGGCUUGGUGGUGGUAUGGUGUGAAAGAGCAUCUGUUCCCUCCAUUCUCCCAGCUCCAUCGGCUGCCAACCUAGGGCCAUCGUCUGCCUCCAUCACCCCUCCGCCCGCCCGCCUACCCACCCAAUCCCAAACGGGUGCUGGAUCAGGUGCUGAAUCCGGCUGCCUCCUCGGGCAUUGCUGUGUGUCUGCCACCGCUGCCUGGCACUCAUGGGGCCGUGUGUGUGUGUAUGUGUGUGUGCGCGCAUGUACAUGUACGCAUAAGCGUGUGCUGUAUGUGAGCCUCCUGGGCAUGGGUGGGGGUUGGCAUUGCGGUUGCCAAUCUAGUGUACAACCAGAAGGACAGAGGGAUGGAGUGGAAGAAGGAGGGGAGAGGCUUGGGGUCUGGGAGGGGAGAAGAGGGUGCAUGAGUUGCUUCAUGCUGCCUGCUUACAGGCAUUGGCAUUGUAGCUGCCACCCUUGUGCCCACGGAGAUGGGAGGAGGCGAGUGGAGGGCGCAGCGGCAGGAGUCCUGUGCUCUGGGAGGAAGGCUUUGUACAUGGGAGCUGUUGGCAUCACAUCUGUCAGGCCGGUGCCCAGAACUGGGGCAAUGGAGACUGGGGGAUCCAGGAAGCAGGGAGGAGGGGCAGAAUGUGUUUCUGAUGUUGCUGUCCCUCUAGAAGCUCAGCUCUGAAAAAUGGUUGGAGUAUGAGGUGAUUAGUGCUCUUCCAGCUUGAGGAAGUAAAGUGGUGGAGAGAGUAGCCAGGGAAGUGCGUCCUCCUUCCCCUUCCCUCUUAGGCAUGGGGAGUGGAGCAACAGACGGAGAGUGGCAUGAAGACACAAAGGAGGAAGCACACCAUUGCCAAGACCCCAAGGAAGAAGGAUGGAAAGCGCUGGCAGUCCUGCCUGGCCCCCAGCCAGUUCCCUGCUGAAGAUGGCCAGAUCCCCUUGUCUGGUCUGUAUAUGCCACUUUUGCUGGGGUGGAAGGAGGGAAGGGCUGGCUUGCUGAGCUGGGCUCUAGAAUGGGAAGGGUACCUUUCUGCAGAUCCCAUUUGGACUCUCCACUUGAACAAGUGAGGUGUCUGAUUUUCUCUUAGCAGAUCCUCUCCCCAUAUGUUAAUAUUCAACAUUUGGUCACUCUUCCUCUUACCGGUUACUUUUUCCUCUCACUUUCUCUGUUUAUAAGCUUUUUCUACCUACUUUUGUGUGAGAAAAAUUAGCGUGUGUUGGAGGGUAUUUCUGCUUAUGGGAGUAUAGGUCAUGGGUCUUGGGAUAUGUCCCUUGUACUUAUACAUAUGCCCAUGGGGCCCCAUCCUUGCUGGCACUGGUGUGUUUCCCUGCAGCCCCCUCUGCUGGGGUCUGCUGCUGUUUCUGAGGGUGUG